GGACUCUCGGCAACGGAUAUCUCGGCUCUUGCAUCGAUGAAGAACGUAGCGAAAUGCGAUACUUGGUGUGAAUUGCAGAAUCCCGUGAACCAUCGAGUCUUUGAACGCAAGUUGCGCCCGAAGCCAUUAGGCUGAGGGCACGCCUGCCUGGGUGUCG
rnacentral:rRNA from 8 species